rnacentral:tRNA from 1 species
GCAGAGAUGGCUGAGCUGGUCUAAGGCGCACGACUGGAAAUCGUGUAAGUGCUAAUACCACUUCGGGGGUUCGAAUCCCCAUCUCUGCGCCA